rnacentral:rRNA from 1 species
UCAUAUUGAACCUAGUGAUGUAUGAGUUAGUGGCGGACUGGUGAGUAACGCGUGGAGAACCUGCCGUAUACUGGGGGAUAACACUUAGAAAUAGGUGCUAAUACCGCAUAAGCGCACAGCUUCGCAUGAAGCAGUGUGAAAAACUCCGGUGGUAUACGAUGGAUCCGCGUCUGAUUAGCUUGUUGGCGGGGUAAAGGCCCACCAAGGCGACGAUCAGUAGCCGGCCUGAGAGGGUGAACGGCCACAUUGGGACUGAGACACGGCCCAAACUCCUACGGGAGGCAGCAGUGGGGAAUAUUGCACAAUGGGGGAAACCCUGAUGCAGCGACGCCGCGUGAGUGAAGAAGUAUUUCGGUACGUAAAGCUCUAUCAGCAGGGAAGAAAUAAAGUCCUUCGGACUUUGGACGGUACCUGACUAAGAAGCCCCGGCUAACUACGUGCCAGCAGCCGCGGUAAUACGUAGGGGGCAAGCGUUAUCCGGAUUUACUGGGUGUAAAGGGAGCGUAGACGGCAGCGCAAGUCUGGAGUGAAAUCCCAUGGCUUAACCAUGGAACUGCUUUGGAAACUGUGCAGCUAGAGUGCAGGAGAGGUAAGCGGAAUUCCUAGUGUAGCGGUGAAAUGCGUAGAUAUUAGGAGGAACACCAGUGGCGAAGGCGGCUUACUGGACUGUAACUGACGUUGAGGCUCGAAAGCGUGGGGAGCAAACAGGAUUAGAUACCCUGGUAGUCCACGCUGUAAACGAUGAUUACUAGGUGUUGGGGGACCAAGGUCCUUCGGUGCCGUCGCAAACGCAUUAAGUAAUCCACCUGG